rnacentral:sRNA from 1 species
AUAUCUCUCCGUACGGGAAGGAUGAGAAGCUUCGACUAAGGUUCGAUUCGAGCGAAAGCGAGAAAGCGUUGCCGCAGGCAACGACCCGAAGGGCGAAGCGCGCAGCGCUGAGUCAUCCUUCCUCCACCACCA